GACGAACGCUGGCGGCGUGCCUAACACAUGCAAGUCGAACGGAACUGUUUUGAAAGAUUUCUUCGGAAUGAAUUUGAUUUAGUUUAGUGGCGGACGGGUGAGUAACGCGUGAGUAACCUGCCUUCAAGAGGGGAAUAACAUUCUGAAAAGAAUGCUAAUACCGCAUGACAUGUCGGAGCCACAUGGUUUUGAUAUCAAAGAUUUUAUCGCUUGAAGAUGGACUCGCGUCCGAUUAGUUAGUUGGUGAGGUAACGGCUCACCAAGACCGCGAUCGGUAGCCGGACUGAGAGGUUGAACGGCCACAUUGGGACUGAGACACGGCCCAGACUCCUACGGGAGGCAGCAGUGGGGGAUAUUGCGCAAUGGGGGCAACCCUGACGCAGCAACGCCGCGUGAAGGAUGAAGGUUUUCGGAUUGUAAACUUCUUUUAUUAAGGACGAAAAAUGACGGUACUUAAUGAAUAAGCUCCGGCUAACUACGUG
rnacentral:rRNA from 1 species